CAUCCCCCACGCAGCACGAGCUGCAUCGCGCCGACGCUAUUACUGCUCUGCAGUAAUUUUCCAGAGAAGACGUUUGCCGUCAGUGUAUCCAAGAAAGUAAUCGGACGGUUGAUGCAGUGGAGCAGAAAUUGGCUGACCCCACCUUCCAGAAACAAGUGGUUGCUGUGGUGGCAGAAAUUGGAGGCAGUACUGUGGAUGAAGCCACGAGAAGAAUGAGGGCCUUCCUUUUGGACCACCCCUUAUCAAGAGAGUUCAAUUUUGUUGGCCGGCAUGGAAAGUGAGAGUUUCGGGGGCUCAAACUGCUUGAGGUUGUAUAAGGAAGCUUGAAACAAAUUCUCUUAACCAAAUUACCAGAAAAGAGGCAGAAAAGUCAGCGUCAAAGUGGCUCAUCGGUGACAGGAGGAAACCGUUCUGUGAAGUCACGUAGUAGAGAGCAAGAUAGGGAGAGCAAGGACAGAGGUGUGAGGAGCUGCACGGUUGGUUUGUUUGUGAAAAUGUAUUUUAGAGUUUUCAGAUAUGUGUAUACAAACGAUAUAAGUUAUUCCAAAUAAUGUUUGGCAGGAGCUUCACUUUAACUUUUUUUAAAAUGCUUAUGUUUUAUAAAGAUGUAAAUACACAAGUUAUAAUGGUCAUGUUCAAGUUAUUCCAACGAAACCUUGUUUAAAGCAUGCAGAAUACAAGUUAUGAAGAUUUUUAUUUAUUUUUUUACAAGUAAUAAAGUUUUUCAGGAGCUUAAAAUAAUUUUUUUUAUACUUGUU